rnacentral:lncRNA from 1 species
AUGUUAAUAUUUUAAAAAAUUAAUUUGUCAGGAAAUAUAUUAUCGGUAAAUGUCACAGAAUACAAUCUACUGCAGGUCUUAUGUAUUAAUGAACCUUAGUCAGGCAAAUGUAGACACACCAGUAGUUGUGGCAUAUGAAUAUUGAAUGGAUUCAGAAGGAAAAGCUUUUUUGUUUUGGAUGUUGUUUUUUUUUUUUUUUUAUAUUUUAUAAAAGACAAGAGAUGCAGACAGCUGGUGCUUUCAUGGGAAUUUAAAGGUAGCGCAGGACAAAACAAUGUAGCGAAUUUUUGUUUUGUUUUUGUUUUUUAUUCUUUUUUUAUACAGAAAAUAGACCUGUCUGCUAGAGAAAAAAGGCUGAUGCUGGCCCAUCAAUGAUUUCUGCUGGAAAGGUUUUAUAAACUGUAGCUUCUAUUUCUAAAAUGUACUUAAUGUACUUCAAAAUGUUAUAAAAUAUAUGUGAACAAAGAUUUCAUAUUCGUGUGUGGUGUCACUGUUUUGAUUCAUGAACAUACAUUAUUAUUAUACUAUGCUAUAUAACAUACAUUGACAUCUACUUGUGAUAUUAUAGUACUAUGUACUGCUAUACUAUUUUUAUACCAUACUAGUUUUGCUAUACUAUUUAAGUAUUAUAAAUACAAAACUGUAAAAUUGACUAUAAUCAUAAGGUUCAUUAUAGUCAAUUUUACAGCUUUGUAUGUUAACACAGAGCAGUUUUUAUACCUGUUCUGCAGGAAACCUUGUGGUCUAACAUGUGAUGCUGACUGUAUCUAAGGCAUUGGCUGUUUGAUACGGUUCAGCAUUAAAAAUCAUUAGAAUCAUCUCCAGAACAAGUCAUGAACAUUAAAUCACUGAGCAACUCUGAACAGAUGAAAAUGAUUAAUUAAAUUUUGUUGUUGAUUGUAUAGAUACAGUAGUUAAUACAUGCACUUUAUAUAUAUAUAUAUAUAAAGACAGACAGACAGACAGAUUAAUUGAUAGUUGGUUUCAACAGUUGAUUCUGCAAUAGUCUAACUCACAGCCAAAUUAGUCAAACAAAUCUGUCUAUUGUUCCAAUCACCACACUCAAGUCCUCCAAAGGGGGGCCUAGGUUCCCUUUGAAAUACAUGCGGGCCAUGGUGUGUCCCAGUUUUAACGAGUGUGUCCCAUGCACCCUGAUGAGGUGACGUCAAAACAGAACCAGCACACUGGGGCCCAUUCAUGUGCUUGUAACCCCGGGCUCAUAUAAAUUCCACUGUAGAUAGAAAACAUACAGGCCCAUGGCCUGUUGCCCCAAACAGCACAGCUGUUUGGCCCCACUGCAGCGGUUUGGCAAUAAGACCAAAAUACAGACAUAGCAGGCUGCUUUAAAACAAUUGCAACCCGAAUGUAGAAACAAAACAA